rnacentral:rRNA from 1 species
GUGUGUAAGCGCAGCGAUGCGUUGAGCUAACCGGUACUAAUGAACCGUGAGGCUUAACCUUAC